UAAGACAAAUAUCAACAGUUCCUCUUCCAAACUAUUUCGCUCCUAUAUGAAAUUCAUAGCGCGCUAAAACAAAAAAUUUCGUUCCCACUCUAAAAUAUAGAGCGCUAAAACAAAUAAUUUCAUUCCCUGUGCUGAAAUUGAAACUCAAAAUUCUUCUCCCCCAAACUCGUCAAACCUUCAUCUUAACCCUUUUUUCCCUUCUCCAUUAAUUCUUCAGAAUAUGUGAACGAUUAUUCUCCCAAACCCUAACCCUAAUCUUUUCUUCCCUUCUCCUUCUUCUCGAACCCUUCAACUUGCAUACACAUAAUUAGGAUUUAUCAAGGGUUUCACAAAACUCAACUACUUCACAAAAUUAUGUCAUUCAACGGCUUCAAGAAACAUUUCAAUCAAAGGUUUGAUGUAAGUCUCUGGCGACAAUGAUUUCCAUGGAAGGUGCAAGGGUCAUAGCACGUUGUGAGGUGGAUUUUUCAUUUUCAGGAUGUGUAAGAUUUGUCGCUUCGAUGAAACCAUUGGUUUUUUGUUGAUUUUGGCACGAAACACAUAGAUUGGAAUGGCAGUGAACACAUAAUGGUGGAGUUUAGGCUAUCCAUGUCUGGUUUAAUCAAAUUUGAGAGCGAGAACAUCUUCUUCCAUUCUGAGUGGAAGAUGUUGAAAGUGGUUUGCAAGCCUCUGAGAUUUGAAUGUGGUGUUUUAUUGGGAGCUUUAGACUGCAUUAGAUUAGAUAUGUCAGUUCAGUUUUAAAUUAAUUGUUGUUAGUUGAAUUCACAUGUAUUCUAGUUUACUGUUAAAGUGCUUCAUCUCUGGUGUGUGAUUUGAUAUAACAAAAUGUAUUUAAUUCAAAUUCUUAAGCUAGAUGCCUUAGAAAUGAAAGGUAUUUAAUCUGACUAUGCACUUCCACUGGUUCAUUGUAAGUGUAAACUUGAGGCAUACAAUGGUAAAUAUAGUGAUACAUGUUUGUUAAUGGAUCACCUUUUCAAUAUGGUCCUUUGAACCUCUCGCUCACAACAGAAUAAAUGGAAAGUUUUUCCAAAAGAACGGUACUUCUUUCUUAUAAGUGUGGGCGAUUCAGAGUUUAAUUUUGUUGAGGUUUAGUUUAGUUUUCUCGAUGUUUAGUUUUGUUGUGGUUUAGUUUUUUCUUAUUCAAAUGUUUUGUAUUUGUUUUUCUAACUUGAAAAUUAGAAAUACUUGAGAUGAUUUAAGCUGCAUACACAUUUGUUUCUUGCAGUGAGUAUUCUAUACAAUUGAAUGCUUCACGUUUAAAAGUUCUUCAAGCUCGAGAAGAUUAGGUUAAUAAAAUGAAAGAGGCAGCCAAUGAACUCUUGAAUGUGAGUGGUGAUCCAGAAUUUUAUAGAAACCACUUAAAAUAACUCAUUAUUCAGUGAAUAACAGUAACGGUAUUGGUACCUUCCGAAAUCAUUUUGUCGUGGCCGUUGAAAAUACACUUGAUGCACGUUUGGAUGUAUUGCUUUGUAACAAACUUCCAGAGGCUUGAGGAACUAGUGUUGGUGACGUUUUCAUUGUAUCAUAUUGUGCUUUUCAUGACAAAAGGAUAAUACCCAUUUAUGAGUUUAGAGUACAUGAAUUUUGUGCACCGUGAACAUGGUCUUUCUAGUGAAAAUAACAUCAAGUGAAAACCACCAAAUCUCAAUCUACUGAGGAUGUUGGGAACGCCUUGAUUUUCAACCGGAGUUUAGUGAAAUUCAUGUACGAGUUUGACUGUCAAUUAUGGUGAAGCUCUUUUUUUGCAUUUUGUUUUGUUUCUAGACAAAUUUUCAUCUGUUAUUGAUAUUACAGCUUCUGAGAGAAAUUAAAGUCGGAUUUGGUUUCUUUUGUA